UCCUGUAUGCGCAUUUUUAUUAUUUUCUUUAAUGUUUCCAUUCCCCACACUAGUGCAGUUAACAAUCAAAUCGAUGAACUUACGGUUAUCAUUAACGAAAGGGCACAAGUAUGCAUACAGCAAUGACCCCUACAACAUUCAACUCAAUUGAUUGAUUGAAUGGAUGAAAAUCAUUAAUCAUCCAACCAAGCAAAAGGCUAAGGCAAAGAAUAGAUGCAAAGUCCCUCAAAACAUUUUCAUCAUUUUACAAAACUAAUUACAUUCCAUUGGGGGCAAGAAACUGAUUUGGUUGUUUCUCGAGGUCAUUUGAAUUCAUCCCAAGCAAAUCCACUAAUCGACCUUUUCUUCAUCAAUCCCUCUUUAGGCAUAAAUAAAUAUAGGUGCUCAAUUGAUUCUAGGCUUUUCCUAUCAAAAGAAUAUGACAUUUUCUGAACCAUACCCCAAAAACACCAUAAGCAUUGUGAAACAAAGAGAAAAUAAACUAUAUUUGCAGCACUUAACAAAGACACCCAUCACAAAGCUAACAUCAAAAAAGAUAAGCAUUUAGUUCUAAAAAGAAAACAUUGUUCAUGUAGAUGAAAAAAGGGUUCAACAAAAAUACAAAACUAAACCAUAAAAAUUAUAAAGAUAAAUCUCAAAUCCUUUAACAAAAAAGAAAGUACCCAUCAAGCAACAUUAGGCUACUUAGAUCUUUGUCUCAUCUUUCUUCUCUUCCUCUUCAAACGCCUCAUACGCUUCUUCUUCCACUGUAAUUACCAAAAGAGAAAAAUAAAUAAAUAUAACCAUCAGUUUUUCAAUGAGAAAGAAUCAAUGAAAAGAACAGAGAGAUGUGUAGAUUCUUUUUACCUUAGCUCUCAUGGUGAAAAGGGUUCGAAAUUCGUUUCCUUUUGCAGUCUCAGGAUCGGGUAUCUUCUAGAGAGCACGCGGCGAGAAUUGAAGGAAGAACACUUUCAUUUGAGAUCAUAUAUAUCGAAUAGCUAAACCCUAGAAGCCUCAAUAGUGCGGUUUGGUAAGUGUUGGGGAAUUGGGCUCUGAUAUUAUAUUGGGUUAAUGGAAUCUAA
rnacentral:lncRNA from 1 species